AUGGUGAUCGCGGACUUGGGCUGCUCCUCUGGCCCAAACGCGCUGGCACUGGUAUCGGUCGCUGUCGAGGCGAUCCAUGGAUACUGUCUUCAGUUGCAGCAGCCACCACCGGAACUGUGUGUGUUCCUCAACGACCUGCCUGACAAUGACUUCAACACGGUGGUGAAGAGCCUUGUCACGAUCCGUCGAUGCAACGGGCCUGUUGUCGUGACGGGUAUUGCACCAGGGUCGUUUUACGAGAGACUCUUCACUAGUAGCUCCGUGCAUCUUGUGUGCUCGUCCAGUAGCCUGCACUGGCUGUCAAAGGCUCCUGAAGUUCUAACGAAGAACCAGAUCCCGGCUUACUACAUUGAUGAGCAUGCUAGGCGUGAGAAGCUCCCUAUGGUCCUUGGGGCAUAUGCACAACAGUUUAGGAAGGACUUCAGACAUUUCCUGAAGCUGAGAGCCAAAGAAUUAGUCCCGGGAGGACAGAUGGUUGUUUCCAUUAUAGGGAGGCAUUCUGAUGGCUUCGCCCCCUUCCACAUCUGGGGCAUUCUUGCUCAAGUUCUAAGCCUUAUGGCCUCAGAGGGUGUAAUCGACAAGGCGAAGUUUGAUUCUUUCUAUGUGCCAGUCUAUGGGCCUUCGAAGGAAGAUAUAAGGGAGGUCAUCCAAGAAGAGGGGUCCUUUUCGAUCAAGGAGUUUCUGGUGCAUGACUUUUUAAGCGGCUUGGACAACACGCUCGUCACCCCAAGCUGGAUCGCCAACCAGAUAAGGGCCGUGUAUGAGCAGAUAGUGGUGCAGCAUUUUGGAGAUGUCAUGGACGAAUUCGUGAGGAUCGCGGAGCGGCGCUGGAGCCUGGACAGAAGCUUGCUGCAGGAAGAGCAUGCCGGAUUAGCUAUGCUGACUCUGUCGGUCACCAAGCCAUGA
rnacentral:rRNA from 1 species